GACGAACGCUGGCGGCGUGCUUAACACAUGCAAGUCGAACGAAGUGGCGAACGGGUGAGUAACGCGUAAUCAACCUGCCCUGCAGAGGGGGACAACAGUUGGAAACGACUGCUAAUACCGCAUACUGAGGGUGGGGAUUGCGUGUGAUUAGCUAGUUGGAGGGGGAACGGCCCACCAAGGCGAUGGUCAGUAGCCGGUCUGAGAUGUGGAACGUCAAAAUUGGGACUGAUACACGGCCCAGACUCCUACGGGAGGCAGCAGUGGGGAAUCUUCCGCAAUGGACGAAAGGCUGACGGAAGAACUCCGCGUGAUGGAUGACGGCCUUCGGGUUGUAAAGCUCUGUUAAUCGGGACGCGGUACCGGAAUAGAAAGCCACGGCUAACUACGUGCCAGCAGCCGCGGUAAUAC
rnacentral:rRNA from 1 species